AUUGAACGCUGGCGGCAGGCCUAACACAUGCAAGUCGAACGAGUGGCGGACGGGUGAGUAAUGUCUGGGAAACUGCCUGAUGGAGGGGGAUAACUACUGGAAACGGUAGCUAAUACCGCAUACCAUCAGAUUUGCCCAGCUGGGAUUAGCUUGUUGGUGGGGUAACGGCUCACCAAGGCGACGAUCCCUAGCUGGUCUGAGAGGAGGACCAGCCACACUGGAACGGAGCAACGGUCCAGAUCCCUACGGGAGGCAGCAGUGGGGAAUAUUGCACAAUGGGCGAAAGCCGGAUGCAGCCAUGCCGCGUGUAUGAAGAAGGCCUUGGGGUUGUAAAGUACUUUCAGCGGGGAGGCGUUACCCGAAGAAGAAGCACCGGCUAACUCCGUGCCAGCAGCCGCGGUAAUAC
rnacentral:rRNA from 1 species